GAGGGAACCAGAAAUACAUUUAACUUUUCAAAAACUUGUGGUACAUUCAGAAGAAGCACCCUCGGUUAGUUAUUUACAAGAAGAAAUUAAAUAAAAAAAAAAAGGGAUUCAUAAUUUGGGGCUAAAAAAUGAAAAAACAAAUAGGAAACAUUUGCCCCAACUGAGCUGCUUCACAUCUAUGUAGGCAGAAAAUUGCCAUUGAUCAUUGCUUCAUUUCUGCACAGGCUGUAGCUUUGAAAAGUGCGGGGAAAGCUUCUUCUCCAACUCCAAUAAAAUCUGAUAUUUUUGAAGCGCCUCAUUUCGUUUGGCCAAGUACAAGUCACUAUCCUUAGGUAUAUUGUUCGAAAGAUUGCUCGGAAGAGAUGAUAGUUCCUUAGUAUCCACAAUCUUGUGAACUUUUGGAGAGGUUGUUUUGUCAGUCUGCUGCAAUCCCUUCUUCCUUUCCCUCCUCU
rnacentral:misc_RNA from 1 species